rnacentral:rRNA from 1 species
GAUGAACGCUGGCGGCGUGCCUAAUACAUGCAAGUCGAGCGAAUGGAUUAAGAGCUUGCUCUUAUGAAGUUAGCGGCGGACGGGUGAGUAACACGUGGGUAACCUGCCCAUAAGACUGGGAUAACUCCGGGAAACCGGGGCUAAUACCGGAUAACAUUUUGAACCGCAUGGUUCGAAAUAGAAAGGCGGCUUCGGCUGUCACCUAUGGAUGGACCCGCGUCGCAUUAGCUAGUUGGUGAGGUAAAGGCUCACCAAGGCAACGAUGCGUAGCCGACCAUAGAGGGUGAUCGGCCACACGAGGACUGAGACACGGCACAGACUCCUACGGGAGGCAGCAGUAGGGAAUCUUCCGCAAAGGACGAAAGUCUGACGGAGCAACGCCGCGUGAGUGAUGAAGGCUUUCGGGUCGUAAAACUCUGUUGUUAGGGAAGAACAAGUGCUAGUUGAAUAAGCUGGCACCUUGACGGUACCUAACCAGAAAGCCACGGCUAACUACGUGCCAGCCGCCGCAGUAA